rnacentral:lncRNA from 1 species
GAUCCUUCAGAGUCUAUUGUUUCCUGACAUUAUACUGCCACCAGCCAGGUCAGUGCUAGAGUUGUUCCCUCAGCUACUAUGUGAAUUGUCCAUCCCUGUGUGUGUGGAUGUGUGAGUCUUACAGUGGAAGUAAGGCGUGAUGUUGUGUGUUAAUGUUGACUUCCGCCCUGCUGCAGGUGGAGAGGAACAGGGCUCCCAGUCGGAGGUCUCCUACUACUCCUAUGAGUACGACUCCGACUCCGAGCCCUUCCCUGCUGAGCCGGAUGCCCACUUCCUGCUGCCCGCCGAGACGCAGACGCCCAUGGCCAGUCAGACGCUCUCGCUGGACACAAAGGACUCACCGGAGCGAUGAAACAUCAAUCAGGAAGCUGCCCAUGUGAAUCCUUCUUCUUGUAUAUGUCUGUGAAUAUGAUAGUGUGAGAGUGGAGACUGGAGAGAGAGGGGGAGAAAGAGAGAGAGAAAGAGACUGACGCUGGAGCAAUUCUUGGAAGGUGGUGGGUCCUGUUCGUUUGCAUGCGUGUUUGAGUGUGUGUGUGUGUGUGUGUGGUUGGGUGAAUGGAUGUGUAUAUGUGUACACACACGUGUGUGUGUGAGUGUGUGUGUGUGUGUGUGUGUGUGUGUGUGUGUGUGUGAAGACUAUCCAGCAUUGUCCUCCUUUGCCUCUUUAUCUCUCCCUCUCUUUCCAUAUCCCUUAUCUAAGCUUUCUGCCUCUCUGGUAGAAGAAAUAGCCUCUCCUGCCGUAGCUACCAUUCACUGUAAUCUUCCUGUAAUCUAGAUCAAAAUAAUCAAGUAUUUAUGUUUGUAAUUAUACCUGAGUUAAAAGAAAUGUUUGCUGUUGUUUGUUUGUUUGUUUGUUUUUCUAUCUGUGGUAUUUAUUUGUAGCUAGUGCUUGUGUGUGUUUUGUUUUUCUUUGCUUCUCCUCUCUGCUCUAUUUCUUUCCAUUGCCACACAUCUGUCUUAAUUUAAUCUGUCUGUUCAGAUAUUGGCACACAUUGGAUGCCUUGUUUUCAAGCCCUGUGGCAAAUGUGUACACCUUAAGCUUCUUACAUCAGAGUUGACCCUCUAUUGUAACCCUUGACCCUGCACAAGGUUAAUUCUUGUGCGACGGCACUGAGUCUUGCUCCGUGAGAGCAUUAAGCUGAAAAGAAACACAGAAAGAUAAGCUCGGCCGAAUCGAAAGCAUUUGACCCCCCCAGGAGUCACCAAGUGUGCACAGAGAUUGAGAGCUGGUGGGAUUGGAUUGGUGGGUGCAGAAGCUAGAACUCACUAAGCCUCAUGACGAGACCAGUAAUGUGGUCUGGUCUGGUGUUAUAAUGUAAAUUAUUCAAAAAAAUUUGAGUGAAUGUACGGCCUGAGGAUUUAAGAUACAUUGCCUUUUUUUGAAAAUAAGAGAAUAAAGUUUGUACACAACAACA